AGUUCCUGCUUGUGGCUGCGCCUAUGUUCUGCUUGAGAUCAUUUGAAACAUUUGAGUGCAUCUUGUUUUGACACCUACUCUAAAAACAAGAACCGGACCUUUUGAGAAGGAUCGGUGAUUACUGUUGACAGAGAGGUCAGAAAUCAGCCGCCACAAUGAGUACGGACGCGGAGAUGGCCAUUUAUGGCAAAGCUGCCAUUUACCUUCGUAAGCCAGAAAGGGAGAGGAUUGAGGCUCAAAGUGCACCAUUUGAUGC